rnacentral:rRNA from 1 species
UACGUAGGGGGCAAGCGUUAUCCGGAUUUACUGGGUGUAAAGGGAGCGUUGACGGCAAUACAAGUCGGAAGUGAAAUACCCGGGCUCAACCUGGGAACUGCUUUGGAAACUGUAUGGCUGGAGUGCUGGAGAGGUAAGCGGAAUUCCUAGUGUAGCGGUGAAAUGCGUAGAUAUUAGGAGGAACACCAGUGGCGAAGGCGGCUUACUGGACAGUAACUGACGUUGAGGCUCGAAAGCGUGGGGAGCAAACAGG